GAUGCCGUAAGCAAUAAUAAUAUACUCGAGCCCACACGCAAACUCCCCUGUCUUCUCUCUCUUCAAUUUCCUCUUAUUAUUUCUCUUCUCUGCAACACCACACAGCCUCUUCACGACAUUCAAAGCUGCGUUUCACUUCUCUUGUAAGUCCUUUUCAACUCCUUUCUUCUCUCCCUUCACUUAACUUUUUUAUUUUACUUUUCGGUUCCUUCUGUUCUUUCGAUUCGCCCAUGAUCUGAGUGAAGAAGGUUAGUUCUCUUUGCGCGUGUCCCGUUCUCUUCUCCAAUCCUCCACACUUUCAAUCCGAAAAUACCAAAAACUUUAUCCAGCCUCAAACUAUAUAUUACAUAUUAAUUCAUAGAUAUAGUUUUAUAUUUACCCAAAUGGAGGUGAAGCUAUGGAAUGACAAGCGCGAGAGAGAGAUGUAUGAGAACUUUGCUGAGCUUUAUGCUAUAAUCAAAGCUACUGAAAAGCUUGAAAAGGCUUAUAUUCGGGAUAUUUUAAGUUCAACUGAAUAUGAAGCUGAAUGCCAAAAACUCAUUGCCCAUUUUAAAACCCUAGCCUCGACGUUGAAAGAUACUGUCCCGAGCAUUGAGCGGUUUGCAGAUACAUAUAAAAUGGACUGCCCAGCUGCUCUGAAUCGCUUGGUUACUGUCGGGGUGCCUGCUACAGUGGAGCAUCGAGCUGCUGCAGCUGCAUCGACUUCCACCUCUGCUGCCAUUGUUGCAGAAUGUGUCCAGCAUUUUAUAACUGCCAUGGACACAUUAAAAUUGGAAUUUAAGGCGGUUGAUCAGGUGUAUCCAUUGUUAUCUGAUCUAUUGGGUUCGCUUAAUAAGUUGAGUAUUUUGCCUCCGGACUUUGAGGGGAAGACCAAGAUGAAGGAGUGGAUUUCAAGGUUGUCGAAGAUGGGGGCUGCAGAUGAGUUGACAGAUCAGCAGGCACGGCAGCUACACUUCGAUCUGGACUCGUCAUACAAUUCAUUUAUGGCUGCUUUGCCGAAUGCUGGGACUUGAUUGAUGAUUUGGAGCUUAAUCCCAAAUGAAAUCUGACUUUGUCUCAACUAGUGUUUUGCAAAAGUACCAUGAUUUCUGGGAAGGCUGAGGAAAGAUCUCAGAAUCUCUGUUGAUGAACAGGAUCUUGACUUAAUAUGAUAGCAGAAAAUUGGGUAUAUUUGUGCAGUAACUUGCUUCUCAUUAAUGGCGGAAAUGUAAGCUUUAUCACUUCACUGGGAACCAAAAUAAGCCAACUCAAGAUGUCGGAGGCGUUGGCCCUCAGAUGAAUGGGGCAGUUUUUAUUUAAUGGUGUCUGUUUUGCUUUGUUAGUGUGUCAUUCUUAUAUGUAUGUUAAUGUGUUUUGUCUUUUCAAUACAAACCCAAUUAAGAGAGUUCAUUUAUAUUGAACUAGUCUUGCAUGGGCAAUGAUCAAUAACUUGUAAACCUGCUUUAGUUUGCUGUUAGGUUCAUGUGAUUGUUUGAGCUAGCUGCAGGUUCUUCAUACUUUUGUUUGUGUGAAGGGAAAGGGAAUAUUAAGUAUUUUUUUCAAGCUAUUUUAUAAGGCUUCUUGAUAUCUCGAAGCCAGGACUAAUUACAUCCA